rnacentral:sRNA from 1 species
CCACUGGUGGGUCGAGCAGAGCAUGGAGAUGUCUGCCAUGCUCUGCCAUGCCAUACAUAUCAACCCCGUUCCCAUCGGGAUCGUUGCCUGGCGUAUGUUCUUACGGGCAUGGAGCAUGGACUUGUGAACCGCGCGCACAGGGCGUUUGCGAGUUUGUUGAUCGUGAUGAUUGAAUCACUGACGCUCAAGCCCAGGAGGCCAGCCAAAUGGCGUCCUGCCAGAUAUGCUUACAGUCGUCAGAUAUGAUGAGAUCAAUAUGAGCUCCCCGCAGCCAAUUCAACCUUGGCUCGGGCCAGAAAUAGCAUAAUGAGCCAGCAGCUCACCAGCAUCCGAGGAUGCUGGUAAUUUCCCCCCCUCCUCUCCCGCUGGAAUAGAUGGUUCCUCACUGUACACGAUUAGAUUAAUCUUGGAGAGGACUUCUACGAAGAG